AACCAUAGAAACCUGCGGAGUACCUGCGGAGGGAUCAUUACAGAGUUGCAAAACUCCCACAAACCAUCGCGAAUCUUACCCGUACGGUUGCCUCGGCGCUGGCGGUCCGGAAGGCCCUCGGGCCCCCGGACCCUCGGGUCUCCCGCUCGCGGGAGGCUGCCCGCCGGAGUGCCGAAACCAAACUCUUGAUAUUUUAUGUCUCUCUGAGUAAACUUUUAAAUAAGUCAAAACUUUCAACAA
rnacentral:misc_RNA from 1 species